AGCAGCCGCGGUAAUUCCAGCUCCAAUAGCGUAUAUUAAAGUUGUUGCAGUUAAAAAGCUCGUAGUUGAAUUUCGGGGUCAGCAAGUUGGUCGUGCCACUGGUAUGCACUGGCUUUGCUGAUUCCUCCUUUCUUGAAGAACUGUAAUGCUAUUAAUUUAGUGUUGCAGGGAAACAGGACUGUUACUUUGAAAAAUUAGAGUGUUUAAAGCAGGCUAACGCUUGAAUACAUUAGCAUGGAAUAAUGAAAUAGGACGUUUGAUCCUAUUUUGUUGGUUUCUAGGAUUGACGUAAUGAUUAAUAGGGAUAGUUGGGGGCAUUAGUAUUCAAAUUGUCAGAGGUGAAAUUCUUGGAUUUAUUGAAGACUAACUACUGCGAAAGCAUUUGCCAAGGAUGUUUUCAUUAAUCAAAGAACGAAAGUUAGGGGAUCGAAGACGAUCAGAUACCGUCGU
rnacentral:rRNA from 1 species